rnacentral:rRNA from 1 species
GGCGAACGGGUGAGUAACACGUGAGAAAUCUGCCCCUGACUCUGGGAUAACUGCGGGAAACUGUAGCUAAUACCGGAUACUUUCCCUGGUGGGCAUCCACUGGGGAAGAAAGAAUUUCGGUCAGGGAGGAUCUCGCGGCCUAUCAGCUAGUUGGUGAGGUAACGGCUCACCAAGGCGACGACGGGUAACCGGCCUGAGAGGGUGACCGGUCACACUGGGACUGAGACACGGCCCAGACUCCUACGGGAGGCAGCAGUGGGGAAUAUUGCACAAUGGGCGCAAGCCUGAUGCAGCAACGCCGCGUGAGGGAUGAAGGCCUUCGGGUUGUAAACCUCUUUUAGCAGGGAAGAAGCGAAAGUGACGGUACCUGCAGAAAAAGCACCGGCUAACUACGUGCCAGCAGCCGCGGUAAUACGUAGGGUGCAAGCGUUGUCCGGAAUUAUUGGGCGUAAAGAGCUCGUAGGCGGUUUGUCACGUCUGCUGUGAAAAUCCAGGGCUCAACCUUGGACUUGCAGUGGGUACGGGCAGGCUAGAGUGCGGUAGGGGAGAUGGGAAUUCCUGGUGUAGCGGUAGAAUGCGCAGAUAUCAGGAGGAACACCGAUGGCGAAGGCACAUCUCUGGGCCGUAACUGACGCUGAGGAGCGAAAGCGUGGGGAGCGAACAGGAUUAGAUACCCUGGUAGUCCACGCCGU